AACCCACAAACCAUGAGAUCAUGACCUGGGUGAAACCAAGAUUUGGACGCUUAACCAACUAGCUACCCAGGCGCCCCAAAUUAUACAUUAUUUUUAAGGGUACACAGAAUAUUUACCAAGAUACACCAUAGUAAACAUAAUCUCAUGCACAAAUGUCAAUAAAUUUAAAAGGAUUCCAGUCACCCAAUGUAUGUUCUCUUGCCACAGUGGAAUCAGAUUGGAAAUACAUAACAGAUUAUCUGGAAAAUCUCUAAAUAUGUGGACACUAAAUAAUGGACUUCUAAUUAACUCAUGAGUCAAAAAGAAGCCAAAAGGAAAAUUAGAAACUAUUUUGAAAUGAAAGAAAAUACAACAUAGUAACUUAUAUGAUGCUACUUAAGCAGAAUUUAAGGGGAAAAUUUAUAUCUAAAUGCCUACACACACAAAAAAAGGAAAAAAGGCCCCCAUCAAAUGAUUUCACCUUUAACCUCAAAUGAUGAGAAAAGAGCAAAUCAAACCCAAAGUAAACAGAAGAAAGGGAAUAAUAUAGAUCAAAGUGAAAUCAAUGAAAUAGCAAACAAAAAUACAGAAAGUCAAUGAAAACUGGUUCUUGGACAGCAAAACGAAUAAACCUCUAAGCAAACUGAUCAGGAAAAAAGAAAGAUGACACAAAUUAGGGCGCCUGGCUGGUUCAGUUUGUAGAGCAUGAAACUUUUUUUUUUUUUUUUUUUAAUUUUUUUUACUUAUUUUUGAGAGAGAGACAGAGCAUGAGUGAGGGAAGGGGCAGAGAGAGAGGGAGAUACAGAAUCCAAAGCAGUCUCCAGGCACUGAGCUGUCAG